UGGGGAAUAUUGCACAAUGGGCGCAAGCCUGAUGCAGCAACGCCGCGUGAAUGAUGAAGGCCUUCGGGUCGUAAAGUUCUGUCCUAAGGGAAGAAUACAGUGACGGUACCUUAGGAGGAAGCCCCGGCUAACUACGUGCCAGCAGCCGCGGUAAUACGUAGGGGGCAAGCGUUAUCCGGAAUCACUGGGCGUAAAGGGAGCGUAGGCGGUUUGACAAGCCAGAGGUGAAAGGCAAUAGCUUAACUAUUGUAAGCCUUUGGAACUGUCGAACUUGAGUGUAGGAGAGGAAAGUGGAAUUCCUAGUGUAGCGGUGAAAUGCGUAGAUAUUAGGAGGAACACCAGUGGCGAAGGCGACUUUCUGGACUAUAACUGACGCUGAGGCUCGAAAGCGUGGGGAGCAAACA
rnacentral:rRNA from 1 species